rnacentral:rRNA from 1 species
GACAGAGGGUGCGAACGUUGCUCGGAAUGACUGGGCGUAAAGCGCGUGUAGGCGGUCCCGCGAGUCUGGUGUGAAAGCCCGGGGCUCAACCCCGGACGGGCAUCGGAUACUACGGGGCUGGAGUGCUGGAGAGGAGAGCGGAAUUCCCGGUGUAGAGGUGAAAUUCGUAGAUAUCGGGAGGAACACCAGUGGCGAAGGCGGCUCUCUGGACAGCGACUGACGCUGAGACGCGAAAGCGUGGGUAGCAAACAGG